GACGAACGCUGGCGGCGUGCUUAACACAUGCCAGUCGAACGCUGAAGCUCAGCUUUUGUUGGGUGGAUGAGUGGCGAACGGGUGAGUAACACGUGAGUAACCUGCCUCCUUCUUUGGGAUAACGCCCGGAAACGGGUGCUAAUACUGGAUAUUCACUGGUCUUCGCAUGGGGGUUGGUGGAAAGGGUUUUUCUGGUGGGGGAUGGGCUCGCGGCCUAUCAGCUUGUUGGUGGGGUGAUGGCCUACCAAGGCUUUGACGGGUAGCCGGCCUGAGAGGGUGACCGGUCACAUUGGGACUGAGAUACGGCCCAGACUCCUACGGGAGGCAGCAGUGGGGAAUAUUGCACAAUGGGCGCAAGCCUGAUGCAGCGACGCCGCGUGAGGGAUGGAGGCAUUCGGGUUGUGAACCUCUUUCGCUCAUGGUCAAGCCGCAACAAUGGUUGUGGUGAGGGUAGUGGGUAAAGAAGCGCCGGCUAACUACGUG
rnacentral:rRNA from 1 species